CCUGGCGGCACUAGCGCGGUGGUCCCACCUGACCCCAUGCCGAACUCAGAAGUGAAACGCCGUAGCGCCGAUGGUAGUGUGGGGUCUCCCCAUGUGAGAGUAGGGAAC
rnacentral:rRNA from 2 species